AGUGGGCACCAAGUUGCGCAGCAAAAAAUGCAGCAAAAAUUGCAGCCACAUUUGCAAUCACAUUUGCAGUCA